rnacentral:rRNA from 1 species
AUGGCUGGAGUGGUGCGCCUAUGGAACGAUUGGGAGGUCCAAAUCCUAGUGCUUGUUACGAUAGUCUUACCCUUAUUCAAUCCUUCUCGGAUUACCCUGCUUAGUUCAGCCGCAUCCUUCAGCCUUUUAUACAUCCUCGGCCACAUGUCUUUCUAUGGCAAGUCCCACGGACACCAACAGCUCAUGGCAUUCUGGGCGCCGUUCUUGCUGGUGCAUCUCGGUGGCCAGGACAACAUCACUGCCUACUCCAUAGAAGACAGCCAGCUCUGGCCACGCCACCUGCUCUCUUUUGUCGUGCAGUCCGUGGGAGUGGCUUAUGUCCUCUACAAGUAUGUUGCUGGCAACUGGACCUUGGUCACAGCCGCGGCACUGAUAUUUGUAAGCGGUAUUCUCAAGUAUGGGGAGAGAAUAUGGGCGCUCAAGUCCUCCAGCCUGGAGAACAUGAGUAAGUUCCUCGAGAGCAGGAAGUUGAGCGAGGCUAAACGAGAACAAUAUGCACUAUUGGGCCAAGAGGAAAAGUUGGAUCCUGAAGCGGUUCUGCAGGGAGCUCAUGAACUGCUCCCCAUUUGCAUGGCUCAGUUUGUGGACUAUAAGUUCUGGCCAUCCCGAUUAAUUCCAGAGUGA